rnacentral:rRNA from 1 species
UACAGAGGUCCCGAGCGUUGUUCGGAUUUACUGGGCGUAAAGGGCGCGUAGGCGGCCACCGCAAGUCGACUGUGAAAUCUCCGGGCUUAACCCGGAAAGGUCAGCCGAUACUGCGGGGCUAGAGUGCAGAAGGGGCAACUGGAAUUCUCGGUGUAGCGGUGAAAUGCGUAGAUAUCGAGAGGAACACCUGCGGCGAAGGCGGGUUGCUGGGCUGACACUGACGCUGAUGUGCGAAAGCUAGGGGAGCGAACGGG